rnacentral:rRNA from 1 species
GAUGAACGCUGGCGGCGUGCCUAAUACAUGCAAGUCGAGCGAACAGACGAGGAGCUUGCUCCUCUGACGUUAGCGGCGGACGGGUGAGUAACACGUGGAUAACCUACCUAUAAGACUGGGAUAACUUCGGGAAACCGGAGCUAAUACCGGAUAAUAUAUUGAACCCCAUGGUUCAAUAGUGAAAGACGGUUUUGCUGUCACUUAUAGAUGGAUCCGCGCCGCAUUAGCUAGUUGGUAAGGUAACGGCUUACCAAGGCAACGAUGCGUAGCCGACCUGAGAGGGGGAUCGGCCAAACUGGAACUGAGACCCGGUCCAGGCUCCUACGGGAGGCAGCAGUAGGGAAUCUUCCGAAAAGGGCGAAAGCCUGACGGGGCAACGCCGGGGGGGGGAUGAAGGUCUUCGGAUCGUAAAACUCUUUUAUUAGGGAAAAAAAAAUGUGUAAGUAACUAUGCACGUUUUGACGGUACCUAAACAAAAAGCCACGGCUAACUACGU